rnacentral:rRNA from 1 species
GAUGAACGCUGGCGGCGUGCCUAAUACAUGCAAGUCGAGCGAACAGAUGAGGAGCUUGCUCCUCUGACGUUAGCGGCGGACGGGUGAGUAACACGUGGAUAACCUACCCAUAAGACUGGGAUAACUUCGGGAAACCGGAGCUAAUACCGGAUAAUAUAUUGAACCGCAUGGUUCAAUAGUGAAAGACGGUUUUGCUGUCACUUAUAGAUGGAUCCGCGCCGCAUUAGCUAGUUGGUAAGGUAACGGCUUACCAAGGCAACGAUGCGUAGCCGACCUGAGAGGGUGAUCGGCCACACUGGAACUGAGACACGGUCCAGACUCCUACGGGAGGCAGCAAUAGGGAAUCUUCCGCAAUGGGCGAAAGCCUGACGGAGCAACGCCGCGUGAGUGAUGAAGGUCUUCGGAUCGUAAAACUCUGUUAUUAGGGAAGAACAAAUGUGUAAGUAACUAUGCACGUCUUGACGGUACCUAAUCAGAAAGCCACGGCUAACUACGU